UAUAGAGAAAAUGCCGCAUGAGAACAACGAAAGACAAACCAAAAGUAACAAACAGCAAAGCUUACCCCUUCUACCUUUUGCACAAUGAUUUAACUAGAACAGUUUAGUGAAGAGAACUUAAGCUAAAUAACCCAAAACCAGAUGAGCUACCUAUAAGCAGCUUUACAGAACAAACUCAUCUACGUGGCAAAAUAUUGAGAAGAUGUAUAGGCAGAGGUGAAAAGCCUACCGAGCCUGGUGAUAGCUGGUUGUCCAGAAUAGACUUUUAGUUAAAAUUUAAAACUUACCUGAGAAAAAUAAUUUAAAUGGAAGUUUAAAUAAUCAUCUAAAAAGAUAAAGCCUUUUAGAUACAGGGUUCAACCCUUAGUAGAGUAAGUACAAAAAACACCAUUCUUGGCCUAAAAGCAGCCACCAAUUAAGAAAGUGUUCAAGCUCAACAACUCAAUUAUCUUAAUCCCAAUAGCAAAUACUAGCUCUUAGUCUAGCACUGGACUAUUCUAUUAUUAAAUAGAAGCAAUACUGUUAAUAUGAGUAACAAGAAUCAUUUUUCCCCGUACGAACUUACAUCAGAACGGAUGAACCACUGAUAGUUAACAACAAAAUAAAUCCAACCGAACAGUAAAAUAAUUAUUAAAUAAGUUGUUAACCCAACACAGGCAUACAUUUAAGGAAAGAUUUUAAAAAGUAAAAGGAACCCAGCAAACACAAACCCCACCUUUUUACCAAAACAUCACCUCUAGCAUCCCCAAUAUUAGAGGCACUGCCUGCCCAGUGACAUCUGUUUAACAGCCACAGUAUCCUGACUGCGCAAUGGUAGCAUAGUCACUUGUUCCCUAAAUAAGGACUUGUAUGAACGCCACAUGAGGGUUUUGCUGUCUCUUACUUUCAGUCAGUGGACUGACCUCGUGAAGAGGCGGGAAUAACCAAAUGAGGUGAAAAGACCCUAUGGAGCGUUAAUUAAUUAGCCUCCAAAGUGAAACUAUUAUCCUUCUAAGGAAUAAAAUAUCUUUUAAUGGGUUAACAAUUUAGGUUGGGGUGACCUCAGAAUACAAAGUAACCUCCAGGGUGAUUAAAAUUUAGACUACCUAGUUAAAAUAGGAUAUCACUUAUUGAUCCAAAAAUGUGAUCAACAAAACAAGUUACCCUAGGGAUAACAGCACAAUCCUACUUAAGAGUCCAUGUCAACAAUAGGGUUUAUGAUCUCGAUGUUGGAUCAGGACAUCCCAAUGGUGUAACCGCUAUUAAUGGUUCAUUUCUUCAAUGAUUAAAGGGCUACAAGAUCUCAGUUCAGACCAGAGUAAUCCAGAUCAGUUUCUAUCAAUUGUAUGCUUCUCUCAGUACA
rnacentral:rRNA from 1 species